AUUCACUGUUCAUAAGAAUGGGAAAAUCUGAGCCUUCCAUCGUUGCAACAUCUAAACCGCACGAUUAGUUUUUCUUCCUUCUCCCUUAUUCCUCAUAUCUCUCUGUCUUCUCCCUCAUAUAUUGUUCUCCUUUCUUCUGCCCUCUCCUCUUUCUUCUUUCUCUGUCUUUUCAUCUGGUUUCACUCCACACAACAAGGUUUCUCUCUCCUCUUUCUCAUCGUUUCUCUAUCUCUCUCAAAACCACAAUUCAAUUUCAUCGGCAUCAACAGUCGCCAACAUUUUUCGACUGAAAUGGUUUCAAUUUGAUGAAGUGUGAUUGUGAAGGAGAAGAGGAAGCCUAGAUCAGAAAGCAACCAUGACCCAAGGGACAUUGAUCUCACUUAAAGCAAAGCAAAGUGGUAUCUUUUCUGCUUGGAUUUAUUCCAAGUUUAGUUGCUUGGGUCUACUCUAAGAUUUUGGAGUACAAGAGGUCUUCAUCUCAUUCUGAAGUCCAUUCAGAUAAUAAUCUUGUUGAGUUGGGAAAUGAAGCUGCUAAGGAAGUUGACCGAGCAGUACUCUUGGAAGGGGAACUUUCAAAAUCCGCAUUGCAAAAGUUCUCUUCUUCAUUGAUUAAGUCAAACUUGAUUAGGUUUGUGACAAUGGAUGAGUCUUUUUUGCUGGAAAAUCGAGCUACAUUGAGAGCCAUAGCUGAGCUUGGGGCAAUUUUGGUGUACUUUUAUAUCUGUGACCGGACAGAUUUGCCGGAGAUUCAACCAAGAUUUGUAGCAAUAUCCAAUUCUUCUGUUCCAAGGAUGCUACAUUCAGAUAUUAGUGCUUCUUGGUGUUGGCCUUGAGUUUCACUUCAUUCAAGCACUCUGACACCGGUUGGAAUCGCCGGAAUCCGAAGUCUACUGCUGCAUCGCCGGCGUUGUCGUCAUCCUCCGCUACGGCUUCGGGAUAGCAGCAUUUCAACAACAACAACAACAUUAGAAACAGGUUAGUGUUUAACGCUUGACUUUUUAUGUCUCAAAUUUGGAUUUUGGGGUGUUUUUGAGGUGUAGGUGAUAACAAUUUCUCGCUUGUUUCAAAUGGGUUUAGCUCAUUCUGAUUUAUGGUGUUGAUUAGUUUUUUUUUAGAAGUUUUAGGGUGUUCUUUAUAAAUAGGUAACUACAAGAUAAAUUCUAGAGUAAUAGAUAUAGUUUGUUGAUGAUGUACCAAUACAGAAGAAGAUCACAGUACGGUGCUUUGCUCUUUCCUAGCUCGCAUUAACCUCCUACUCUGCUUUUCAUAACUGCCAAGCAUUUGUGUUCCAGCUACCAGGUUCUGGUUUUUUUCCUGAACAUUCUAGAUCCAACCUGUGUUGGUUUUGCAUAGUCCUUGUUUCCUUCUCUUACCGCUCAACUCUCUAGGUAUGUAUUUAUUUCUUAUUUUUAAAAAAUAACCUCCAUGCACCAGCUUGUCUGACAAUCAAAUUAUGGUUAGUAAUGUAUAUACUAAGUUAUUAACAAGUAUUCCUAAUUUCCACCAUGUAUUCUGCUUUUAGAGUUUUCCUUUUAAGUUUAUAUUGCAUGUAUGAUAGCCUUCUGCAUUUCCUUCUUUUUGUUUUUAACUAGAAGCCAUCUUGCAGUUGAAACCACCCUUUUAGCAUCCUAGAACAAUAUUCUGAUGCUUGGUACAAGUGUGAUGAUUCCUACAAUUCUUGUCCCUGCAAUGGGCGGAUCUUAUGCAUCAAAUUGCAGGAACAAUGCCACGAGUUUUAUUUCUUCUAUAGGAGUACUCCUACUAAAAGCAAUGAAUUACACUAUUUUGGGGUAUCGCACGCGUAGACACACAAAGGAAAACAUCUGAAGAACAAAAGAGAUGAAUACGAAGGAUGAUUUAAGAGUACAUUCUUCAGGAGGAGGAGAGUUAGUCCUAGACUUUCUGGCAUAACAUUUAGUACAUCCUCAUACUUUGCUUGUAUAUUAUUAUUUUUCCAUGUAAAGUAGGAUGUUUUAAUAAAAGAAACUAAAGCAUAGCUUACAAUAUAUGGAAUGCAAUUGUACAGUUUUUUGAGAAGCAUUUAUGAACUUGUAUUAUAUUUAUUCUUAA